rnacentral:rRNA from 1 species
UACAGAGGUGGCAAGCGUUGUUCGGAAUUACUGGGCGUAAAGGGCGCGUAGGCGGUCUUGCAAGUCCUGUGUGAAAUCCCUCGGCUCAACUGAGGAACUGCACAGGAAACUGCUUGGCUUGAGUUCGGGAGAGGGAAGCGGAAUUCCGGGUGUAGCGGUGAAAUGCGUAGAUAUCUGGAGGAACACCGGUGGCGAAGGCGGCAUCCUGGACCGGCAUUGACGCUGAGGCGCGAAAGCGUGGGGAGCGAACAGG